rnacentral:rRNA from 1 species
AGUGAACGCUGGCGGUAGGCCUAACACAUGCAAGUCGAACGGCAGCACAGUAAGAGCUUGCUCUUACGGGUGGCGAGUGGCGGACGGGUGAGGAAUACAUCGGAAUCUACUUUUUCGUGGGGGAUAACGUAGGGAAACUUACGCUAAUACCGCAUACGACCGACGGGUGAAAGCAGGGGAUCUUCGGACCUUGCGCGAUUGAAUGCGCCGAUGUCGGAUUAGCUAGUUGGCGGGGUAAAGGCCCACCAGGGCGACGAUCCGUAGCUGGUCUGAGAGGAUGAUCAGCCACACUGGACUGGAGACACGGCCCAGACUCCUACGGGAGGCAGCAGUGGGGAAUAUUGGACAAUGGGCGCAAGCCUGAUCCAGCCAUACCGCGUGGGUGAAGAAGGCCUUCGGGUUGUAAAGCCCUUUUGUUGGGAAAGAAAAGCAGCAGGUUAAUACCCCGCUGUUCUGACGGUACCCAAAGAAUAAGCACCGGCUAACUUCGUG